rnacentral:rRNA from 1 species
UGCGCAGGUGGUUCGUCAAGUCUGAUGUGAAAGCCCCGGGCUCAACCUGGGAAUGGCAUUGGAAACUAGCGGGCUUGAGUGUGGCAGAGGGGGGUGGAAUUCCACGUGUAGCAGUGAAAUGCGUAGAGAUGUGGAGGAGCACCGAUGGCGAAGGCAGCCCCCUGGGCUAACACUGACGCUCAUGCACGAAAGCUGGGAGCAAACA